rnacentral:misc_RNA from 1 species
AGUUCCCAUUCUUGAUCAGCUGAUGAUUUUCUUUCCUUUCCCUGCAAAUUUCACAGAAAAUCAGAGGCGAUUCACUUCUUAUCUCCAUAUGAAGCGAUGGCUCGGCACUUCGCUCAGAAGUUGGCAAUUGACAAAUGAAGAGAGGGGUCUUUAGAGACUCUUGAACUGCAAUCCUUCUGGAUAUCCAGCAUCUAACAGUAGAUGAACCUCAUCGUCUUCUUCUUUGUUCAAGAAAGGCGGGGAGUGGACAUGAUUUAGAGGAAGAAGAUCAAGGCUUGGGCUAUUGCAACGUUAGAAAAUCUUUGCGGCUCUUGUAUCCUCUCACGAAUAGCCUAUUAACCUGUAUUUGAGAGACUCACAUGGAACCUACAUUAGAGCUAUCUUCUCAGUUGUCUCAGCUUGGACAGUUUGUUCGAGAGGUUAAACUUUUUUGGAAUUAUGAAAG